rnacentral:tRNA from 1 species
GCCUUCGUGGUUUAGUGGUCAACACACUCGACGAGUAACCGAGAGGUCCGUGGUUCGAGUCCCGGCCAGGGCA